CGACCCCAGCUCAGGUGAGAACACCCUCUGAGUUUAAGAAUAUAAUUAAGUGAAGGAAAAGAAACUUACAAGGAUUCCCCUAGUAACGGCGAGCGAACUGAGAAGAGCCCAACAUGAAAAUCGGGUGGUAGCGUCACCUGAAUUGUAGUCUGUAGAAGUGUCCUUAGCAGUGGACUGGGCCCAAGUCCCUUGGAAGGGGGUGCCUGAGAGGGUGACAACCACGUCAGGCCAGGACCCUGUCGCACCACGAGGCGUUGUCGGCGAGUCGGGUUGUUUGGGAAUGCAGCCCUAAUCGAGUGGUAAAUUCCAUCCAAGGCUAAAUACAGGCGAGAGACCGAUAGAGAACAAGUACCAUGAGGGAAAUAUGAAAAGGAAUUUGAAAAGAGAGUUAAAGAGUGCUUGAAAUUGCCGGGAGGGAAGCGUAUGGAGGCCAGUGAUGCGUCUCGGUCGG
rnacentral:ncRNA from 1 species